UACGUAGGGGCCUAGCGUUGUCCGGAAUUAUUGGGCGUAAAGAGCUCGUAGGCGGUUCGGCAAGUCGGAUGUGAAAUCUCCACGCUUAACGUGGAGGGGCCAUUCGAAACUGCUGUGACUCGAGUCCGGUAGGGGAGUGUGGAAUUCCCGGUGUAGCGGUGAAAUGCGCAGAUAUCAGGAGGAACACCGAUGGCGAAGGCAGGUCUCUGGGCCAUAACUGACGCUGAGAAGCGAAAGCAUGGGGAGCGAACAGG
rnacentral:rRNA from 1 species